CGAAUAUUUGCUUAUUAUUGUAUUCUGUUAAAAAGACGUCUAGUUGGCAAUCAAACCUGACUUAUCAUUAUGUAUACACAUACAUAUAUAAAAGAAGAUGUGGUAUGAUUGCCAAUGAGACAAUCCUCCACAAGAUAUCAAAUGACACAUAAAUUAACAACUUUAGGUCACCGUACGCCCUUCAACAAUGAACAAAGCCCAUACCACAUAGUCAGCUAUAAAAGCCCCAAAAGGACAAUAUAAAACAAUUCAAACAAGAAAACUAACGGCCUAAUUCAUGUACAAAAAAUGAAAAAAAAACCAAAUAUGUAACAUACAUAGUCGUAAACGGCCCUACCAUUUUAUAUCUGUACCUUGGAUACUGAAUGAGCAUUGUCAUCUGGGCACAAUCUUUAAAAGAAUGCUACCAGUAAAUUUCUGACAAAAUGUGAGAAUGGCCAAAAUGAUGUUGUUUUAUAUGAACCUCUUAACUACGAAAACC
rnacentral:lncRNA from 1 species